GGUGGCUUGAUAAGUCGGAUGUGAAAGCCCUGGGCUCAACCCAGGAAGUGCGUCCGAUACUGUUGAGCUCGAGUGCGGUAGAGGGAACUGGAAUUCCUGGUGUAGGGGUGAAAUCCGUAGAUAUCAGGAGGAAUACCAAUGGCGAAGGCAGGUUCCUGGUCCGUAACUGACACUCAGACCCGAAAGCGUGGGUAGCAAACAGGAUUAGAUACCCUGGUAGUCCACGCCAUAAACUCUGGAUGCUUGUCGUUGGAAGAUUGAAACUUUCAGUGACGGAGCUAACGCGUUAAGCAUCCCGCCUGGGGAGUACGGUCGCAAGAUUAAAACUCAAAGAAAUUGACGGGGACCCGCACAAGCAGUGGAGCAUGUGGUUUAAUUCGACGCAACGCGAAGAACCUUAUCCUGGCCUUGACAUUUACCGGACCGGUCCUGGAAACAGGCCUUUCCCUUCGGGGACUGGUAGACAGGUGCUGCAUGGCUGUCGUCAGCUCGUGUCGUGAGAUGUUGGGUUAAGUCCCGUAACGAGCGCAACCCACGCCCCUUGUUGCCAGCAUUAGGUUGGGCACUCUAGGGGGACUGCCAGUGUGAAACUGGAGGAAGGUGUGGAUGACGUCAAGUCCUCAUGGCCCUUAUGGCCAGGGCUACACACGUGCUACAAUGGAACGUACAAAGGGCAGCGAAACCGCAAGGCGAAGCUAAUCUCAAAAAACGUUCCUCAGUUCGGAUUGAGGUCUGCAACUCGACCUCAUGAAGC
rnacentral:rRNA from 1 species